CCGUUGCCAAAUUCACACAUUUAACACUCUAAUUACAUUAUCAGUCCAUACACACUGCACACUGCAGGCUUACACACGGCUUACACACCACUGCCAAAGAUCUGGCUCAGAUACAAAGCAAUCUCCAUGCUCGCAGAAAAUGGUAGUAAAGAACGAUUCAAAGUGCAGGAAAUGAAGAAGGGAGAAGAAGCAUCGUAAACACGUGGCAUCAUAAACACAGUAAACAGAGAAACCUCACAAUCUCGAUGAUGGCUGAAACACAAAAACAGGGUUCAAAAUUGGCAGCUUGGUGGCACCUCAAAACCUUCCUAUCAGACGUCCAACAUCUCAACUGCUGAUCUACCCACCUCCACCUGACAUGGAACAUGUUUUUUUAAGCCCCAGAUAUAAAGUGUGUGACAUCAUUUCAUUACCAAACAUUUAACAAAAAAAAAGACACCAGACAUCAAUUUGCAGUAGACCAGGAGUCAGGAACCUGUUUAAAGGACAGCCAUUGUCAGUGUCAGGAAAUUAUUGUUUCCAUUAGUUAGACACUAGUUUGGAUUUAUGGCUGGUGGGCUUCAUGAUGAUGUCAUGUGUUACUCCAGGUACAUAUUCACUAGCUCCAGAAUUAAGCACGAUUUUUGCAACAUUUUAAGCAUAUUGUUCUUCCAUGAUGCUCUGCAUUAAAUCCAUGGCUUCUGUCUGAAACAUU